GGGAGGUCUUAGCUUAAUUAAAGUGUUUGAGUUGCAUUCAGGAGAUGUUUAUUAAAAUUAUACAGGCCUUC
rnacentral:tRNA from 1 species